rnacentral:lncRNA from 1 species
GGCAUGGACUCACCUUUGCCCGAAAAUAGAGAAGAAAACUCGCCCAUUUUUGGACAUGGAGCCUUUUAUAGGUGGCUGGCCAGACCACCUUCGGAGGCCAAAGGUGCUCCCUAAACUGCACCAUGUUCGGCGGCGGAACCUGGCUUUCCUUCCUUGGUGCUUUUCUUUCAAAAACUCAAUUUCUUUCUUACUUAAAACCUCAAAAACACAUGAAAACAUUUUAGAAAAACAUAUUUUACCCUUCUAGAGAGUUUCGACAUCUGAGAUUCCGCCAGAAAGCAGGAAUUUCAAUGCCAGAGUCUAGCCGGGUAUUAUACCUCUCCUCUCGAUCUUCAAGAGGUAAGCGUAGAUCCUCACCUUCUUUUAUGUUUUAAGUAAGUUUUGAGGGGUUUUAAGGGUUUUAAUGCAUGUUUAGAGUAGAUGUAAAAUGUUAGGGUUUAUGUUAGUUUAAUGAGAAAUGUGAUGCCAUGUUGAUGUUUGUUGGGGUUUAGACUAGUUUUAUGCCCCUAUAUGCUUGAAUAAGUGUCUAUGCAUGUUUUAGAAGAGUUGAAUGCAUGUUGUGAGGUUUUUGGUGGCUGGAUGUGAGAGGCAGAAUCGGGUUCUGCCCUUUGGGAGAGUCCAGGUUCGGCCGCCGAAGGCAGUUUCGGCCGCUGAACCUGCCUGGGGAGGCAGCCUUUGGCCGCCUAAACUACCCCCGAAAGCAAGGACUUUCGACUCUGGAGGGGAGUUUCGGCCACCGAACCUGCCCCAGAAGGUUGGUGACUUUCGGCUCUAGAGUGAGUUUCGACCGCCGAACCUUGCCCCCGAAAGUGCCUGACUUUCGGAUCUGGAGGGACCUUCGGCCGCCGAACCUGCCGCCGAAAGUCCCCUGUCCAGCCUUCCUUUGUUAGUUUUCUAUGCAUGUUUUGAUGAUGUUUUAGGGGUUUUUGGGGAGAUGUUUAAAGUCUCUAUAGAGUUUGUUUGGUCCCUCAUUUGAGUCUACCUGUGUAGGAUCGGACCCGAGAAACCGAGGAGAUCAGCAGUGUUAGCUGUUUCAGAGUCAGUCAGAGGUGAGUAGAACUGAACUAUGUUUUAAAGUAAAUGAAAUUUUUAGCAUGUUCAUGCAUCACGAAUGCCAUGAUAUGUACUAGGUUGUUUUGCAUUAGAAUUCACGAAUAUGAUACAUUGCAUAAUAUGAUGUUGAUGUGGAUGGAUAUUAGAUGACCCACUAGCCCUCGAUAUGACAUGUUAUGGUACGGUAUGGAAGUCCAGUGAGACCCAUUUUACGCCCACGAUGUGAGAGAAAGACCAGUGAGGCCCAUUCUACGCCCCUGGCACAUUGGAUAUGUUAUGUUAUGUUAUGUUAAGAGAAAGACCAGUGAUGCCCAUUCUACGCCCCUAGCACAGUUGGAUUAUGGAGAGGGUUAUUGGUGACAAGUCCAUCCGUGAUGUGAAUUGUUUGUGUUGUGAUGCAUUUCAUGAAAGCAUAUGUAUUUAAAUUGUUUUACUGUUCUGCUCACUGGGCUUUAGUAGCUCACCCAUUUCCCCUAACUCCCAGGUUUGUAGGAGCACAGUUAGCUAUGAGAAAGUCAACAAGGUUAUGGUAUAGUCUAUGUAAUAGAUUAGUAGUGGACAUGAGAUGACAUAUAAUGUAAUGUAACGUAAUGUAAAGUAAUGUUUUGAGGAUAAUAUUGUGCUUGGCCCUAUUGACAGAUUGUAAAUCUCUGUUGUACAUGAUCUUUAUGUAAAUAUUUUUAAUGAUGUUAUAUGUUGAAUCAAGCUUGAUGUAUAUAAUGUUGACCCAAC